rnacentral:lncRNA from 1 species
AUGGCGACGCUGGCGCAUCCUGGCGUCGCUCCCGCGGGAAGGUCCCGCACGGCGUCCCGGCAACGGCGGGAACCGGGGAAGGGACACCCCGCGAUCCCCCCGGCUCCGCCGUCCCGGAUCCUUCCCUGGGAGGGAAUGCCGGCUCCGCAGUGCCGGGAAGACCCUGCGAUCCCCCGGGAAAAGAAAUCCCGGCUGCGGUGUCGCAGGAAUUCCAGGCAGGACAACAUGGAGCCUUUUCCUCUCUCUGAGCUGGGGCUUCCGACAGAAAACAAGGCCAUCCAGGGAAUUCUCUGCCCCAUGGCUGUGGAGCUCUGCCACCUCAUCCUCGCCCUGGAACGGGAAGAUGGGAUUUGUCCGGCCUUUCCCAAUCUGGGGGAAAAGGCGGAAGAAUUAGCCAAAGCCAUGGAAGAACUCGCUGCUCUGGCAAGGAGGCUGUCCGAGGAUUCCGGCCAGGAAGGGAGCACGGAGGUGUGUCCCGUGGGUGAAUCCCUGGUCCAGGCUGGGAGGGACGUGGUGCUGGCAGCAUUCCAGCUCCAGGAGCAUCCCGACAGCCCUCGGCACCGGGAGCACCUGGCAGCGGCCACCAGGAGGGUCCUGGUGGAGACAGCAAAGAUCCUUCAGCUGGAAGAGGCUGCAGGGAUGAGGAGGAUAACUGGGGCUGCCAGCUGGCUCCUGGAAUGCCUGAGAGUGCUGCGGGAUGCCCGGGACGCUCCAGGGCUGCUGGCGGCAUUCCAGGCCUUUUCCGAGGCCGUGCUCCUGCUCAGCCGCCUGGCAGCCGAGCGCCUCCAGGAACUCGGAGACUGUCCUGGCUGGAAGAGCCUGGCACAGACCCUGCAGCUGCUCCACAAAUGUGUCCCCCUCAUCCGCACAGCCAAGCACAGCGCCCUGACACAUUCCAGGGAUUGCCAAGCUGACCUCUCCCAAGAUUCUGUUUUCCAGCUGACAGAGAGGACCAUCGGGGAGCUCCUCUCCCUGCUCAUGGAGCCACGGGACAGGAGCGGGAUCUUCUCCCGGCACGUGAGCAGGCUCCAGGCUCUCCUCUCCCACCCCGACCCCCUGCGCCUCUCCGAGGGCGGGUUCAGCUCCCACCUGGAAGCGGUCAUCCUCCAUGGAAUGCUGCUGGCAGAGUCAGCCAGGCUGGAUCUGCAGCUGGAGCUGGUGGAAUGCUGCUGGGUCCUGCUGCAGCUGAGGAGGAGCAUCUGCAGCCACAUGAGCCAGAGGGAGGAACAGCCAGGACCGAUCCAGGGAGAACACAGACUGGAGCGGGAAUGUCACAGCCUGAGGGCCGAGCUGGAAAACCUGGAGCGGGCAGUGCUCAGGGCCACGCUGUGCCAAAUCCUGGAUGGAUUCUUCCAGGAGAAGGAGCCGCUGAGGCAGCUGGUUGAAGGUGCCCUUAGCCUUGCUGGUUCUGGAUGUUUUCCAGCAGGACCAGGAGGGAUUUUAAGGAAGCUCCAGCCCCUCAUUGCUGCCUUCUUUGCCCAGGCCCAGCGGAUGCUCCGAGCGGCCGAUCUGGUCCUGGCCAGGUGCGCCAAGGCCCAAACUGCCAGGGAAAUCUGGGAGGGCGUGGAGCACCUGCGGAGCCUCCUGGCCAGCCUCCCUUCCCUGCUCAUGGAAACAAGCGGGAAUGCCAUGGAGCAGCUCCAGGCCCUGCGCUGUGCCUGGGCCAGAGCCACCGACCGCCUCCUGUGCUGCUUUGAGGAGACUGUCAGCAUGGGGGAAUUCCUUGAGUUAUCCAUCCUGGAGCUGGCCAAGCACAGGGAAUGGUGCGCAGCGGCGCUGGAAUGCCGGGAUCCCGAGGGAUUCUCCUGGCACGCUGCUCGCCUCACAGGCUGGGCCCGCUGGGUGCUUGGAGCCACCACCCGGCACGUGGACAGGGCCACGGAUCCCAUCUUCAGGAACGGUUUGCUGGUGUGGGUGGAGCGAUUGGCCAAGUCCAUCCUGGAGCUGGGAGCAGUCACGGCCCUCCUUCCAGGAAGGUUUUCCUGCCUGCAAAGCCGGGAUGCCUUUUCCCAGGCAGCGAGCUCCCUGAUGGACUCUGCUCUCCGUGUCCAAGCCGGGCUGGAUGGGUCCAACCACCCGGAGAUCCUCAGCCCGCUCCGGGAGCAAGUGAGGAGCUCCAAGGUGGAAAAGGGGCUGGAGCUCAGCCCAUCCUACACUGGGAUACGAACCAGUAUGGAUGAGGCAGUGUUCCAAGGAGGCAUCCAAAGUCACCCAUCACACCUGGAUCCACACCCUGUCAUCGCAGCUCUCCUGGGAGCAUCCCGAGCCGGUGACAUGGACACUGUCCGUGCUGCUUGCUCUGUCCUGCUGGAGCUCGCCGAUGGCUGUGUGGAAGCAGCACGGGAGGCGCUGCCCGUGGCCGAGCCCCCCCAGCUCCGGGUGCUGGAGCAGCACCGGGAUAUCACAGCACUGACCUCACAGAUCGUCAGCCUGGCCAUGGAAACGGCCCCCAGGCAGCCCCCGGCUCCAGGCAGCCUUCUCCAACUGGCACUCAGGCUCUCGGGAAGGAUCCGCCAGACUCGGGAGUGCCUGGCAGCCAUGGCGGGCUCUUGGAAUGGUCUGGCCCAGCAAGUGCUUGGGUUUAUCCUGUCGGGUGACUUUCCAAGAGGGAAGCAGGCUUUGGAUGAGACCAUGCUGGGUUUAGGAGGUGCAGUGCAGCUGGCAGGAGACAUUGCAAGCAUGGCCUGCAGUAAGGAAAAUCCCAGUCCCUCCGAUGUCCGGGAGAGCUUUCUGCAGCUCCAAGACAAGUUCUCCUGUGCUCAGCUGAACACCAAAGUGUUCCUGGAGCAGGCAGCGUCCUUCAGGGAAUCCUGUGGGAUGGAAAAGGCCACCCUGGAGCUGCACGGAGUCCGGUGGGCCGUUGGCAUGUGUGUCCUGCUGGAUGCCGUGGAUCAGUUUGUGGGCAGGGAUGUCCUGUUCCUGAGGGAGCUGAGCAGAGCCGUGAGGAACAAGGUUGGCCCACGGAGCCUUCUGGCUGCCAUGGCUGAGAAUUCCCUGAGGCUGCAGGAGGCCGCCCGGCUUUCCUACUUAUCCUGCCCUGGAGACCGCGGUGCCAGAGAAAUCCUGGCACUCCGGGAGGAGAUCCAGGUGCUCAUGGAAGCACUGCUGGAUGUGUCCAACACCCUCCUGCUCUCCGCGCUGCCUGCUGCCAGCUUGGCCAUCCGCUUUGAGCUCCUGCGCAGGGAUGUGGCCCUCAGGGCCAAAGCAUUGUUGCUCCACAUGGAAAGGGUCAACAUGGAACAGCUGCAGCUCAUCCAAGAUGUGGUUGGAGCAUCCCUGUCCACCCUCUCCCAAGAGGAAAGGGAGAGGAGCAAAGAGGCCUUUGAAGAAAAGGCCACUCGGCUCAUGGCUGAUGUCCAGUGGGUCAGGAACACCCUCCAGGAUGCUCCAGAGGCCGGGGCUCAACUUCCACCGCAGCCCGACCUGCUGUCCGUGGCUGACCACCUCCUGCUCCUCACGGCUGAUGUGGUGGGAAGCACCCGGCGGCACUUCUGGAGCCACCAGGACACUGGGAAUCCCUGCCAGGACACUGGGAAUCCCCGGCUGGACACGGUGGUGUGGUACUGGUCAGCCAAGGCACACUACCUUGUCACGCAGCUCCGGCUUAUCCAGGGAAUGGACAGGGACAUCCUGCGGCGCCUCACAGAAUGCCUGCAGCGGGAGCGCUUCCCGGGAUCACCCAACGGCACAGCCGGGCUCUCCCCAGCCCCAGAGCCCAGUGAGGCAGCGGGAAUUCAUCCACGCAGGAGCGGAGAAGCGAGCGGAGCCGUGCGGGAAGUGGGUGAGCUGAAACACCCAGGUGGAGGAGACCACUCAGCAUCGCUGCGUCCACACGUUCCAGGCUUGGAAUGUGCUCCGUUAUUGUCCCGACAGCACCGGGAUGGCCCUUCCAGCAUCUCCCCUGCAAAGCAGGAGAGAGGGAACUGUGACACGCGGCAGGGUGGCCCCAGCAAGGUGUCCCAGGUCAUCCAGGACAUGGCCACGAGGAUGCUCCACAUGGCUCAGUUCCUGCGGAGGAAGGGCCCCAUUGCGAGCAAGGAGCAGUUUGUUGCCUGUGCCAGGCAGAUGGCUGCCGACGGGCAGGUGGUUGUUAAGUUUGGGAACAUCCUCACCAAGCACUGCCUGGAUCGGAGAUGCUCCAUGGAGCUGCUCCGCGCUGCCGAGCACACCCAAUCCGUCAGCAGCCAGCUCGGCAUCGUGGCCAGGGUGAAAGCAGUGACUGGGGAGAGCAAGGCCUCCUCUGAGCUGCUGCUGAGCAACGUGCAGAACCUCAUCCGAGCGGUCCAGCACGUCCUGAGGGCGGCCGAGGCGGCGUGUGUCAAAGGUUUGGGACAAGCCUCAGUUGACCCUGAAGAAGAAGAAGUUGCUGCUUUCUGCCAGCAGUGGAGGAAAAACCUGACACAGCACAGAGCCAAGGAGGCUUUAAAUUCCGACCGGGAUGAAUUAGGGCUCCGGAAAACUCGGGGGGCAAAGGCUGAGCCCACCCUGAUGUCUCUGGUGCAAGAACAACCCUCUCAGAGCAGGAAUAUCCCAAAGCAUCCCAGUCCUAGGAAAGGACACACAGUUAUGGACAGACACCUGUAA